rnacentral:sRNA from 1 species
GAGGGGACCUCCAAGUUUGCCACCCUGGAGAUGAACCCCAAGAGAGCCCAGAAACGGCCAAAGGAGACGGGCAUCAUCCAGGGCACCGUUCCCUACCUGGGCACAUUCCUCACCGACCUGGUGAUGCUGGACACCGCCAUGAAGGACUAUCUGUAUGUGAGUGUGCCGGGCGGGGCUGGAGUAGGGCUGGGGAUGAGAGACCUUUCCUGAGCCCUGG